GACCCAGACUCCUACGGGAGGCAGCAGUGGGGAAUAUUGCACAAUGGGGGAAACCCUGAUGCAGCAACGCCGCGUGAGUGAGGAAGUAUUUCGGUAUGUAAAUCUCUAUCAGCAGGGAAUAGAAAAGAAGGUACCUGAAAAAGAAGCCCCGGCUAACUACGUGCCAGCAGCCGCGGUAAUACGUAGGGAGCGAGCGUUGUCCGGAAUUACUGGGUGUAAAGGGAGCGUAGGCGGGGAUGCAAGUUGGGUGUUAAAUCUACCGGCUCAACUGGUAGUCGCACUCAAAACUGCAGCUCUUGAGUGAAGUAGAGGCAGGCGGAAUUCCUAGUGUAGCGGUGAAAUGCGUAGAUAUUAGGAGGAACACCAGUGGCGAAGGCGGCCUGCUGGGCUUUUACUGACGCUGAGGCUCGAAAGUGUGGGGAGCAAACAGGAUUAGAUACCCGGGUAU
rnacentral:rRNA from 1 species